rnacentral:rRNA from 1 species
UUCCUACGGGGGGCAGCAGUGGGGGAUAUUGCACAAUGGGGGAAACCCUGAUGCAGCGACGCCGCGUGGGCGAAGAAGUAUUUCGGUAUGUAAAGCCCUAUCAGCAGGGAAGAAGAAAUGACGGUACCUGAGUAAGAAGCACCGGCUAAAUACGUGCCAGCAGCCGCGGUAAUACGUAUGGUGCAAGCGUUAUCCGGAUUUACUGGGUGUAAAGGGAGCGUAGACGGAGAAGCAAGUCUGAAGUGAAAGCCCGUGGCUUAACCACGGGACUGCUUUGGAAACUGUUUGACUAGAG